GUCGCUUCUCAGCCUUUUGGUUAAGAUCUAGUGUAGCAUCUGUCCUUAUCAGUUUAAUACUUGCUCUGUCCUUGGUGAGAGGAAAUAUUCUUUAGCCUCU
rnacentral:snRNA from 1 species